UACAGAGGUCCCAAGCGUUGUUCGGAUUCAUUGGGCGUAAAGGGUGUGUAGGUGGCGCCGUAAGUCGGGUGUGAAAUUUCGGAGCUUAACUCCGAAACUGCAUUCGAUACUGCGGUGCUUGAGGACUGGAGAGGAGACUGGAAUUCAUGGUGUAGCAGUGAAAUGCGUAGAGAUCAUGAGGAAGACCAGUGGCGAAGGCGGGUCUCUGGACCACAACUGACGCUGAGGCGCGAAAGCUAGGGGAGCAAACAGG
rnacentral:rRNA from 1 species